CUACAUGCACGAAAGUGUGAUAGGGGGAUCCCAAGUGCUCAACCAUUGGUUGGGCUUUUGCCAAGUGUAAAUAGCUUGGCGAAUAAGUGGUGGGUAAGACGGGUGCCAGCCGCCGCGGUAACACCUGCGCCACAAGUGGCAAUCACGAUUAUUGGGCCUAAAGCGUCCGUAGUCGGACGAGUAAAUUUUCUGUGAAAUUGUCAGGCUUAACUUGGCGAAUUGCAGAAAAGACUGCUCGUCUUGAGACCGGGAGGGGUUAGAGGUAUUGUUAGGGGACCGGUAAAAUGGGAUAAUCCUAACAAGACCACCGGUGGCGAAGGCGUCUAACCAGAACGGCUCUGACGAUGAGGGACGAAAGCCAGGGGAGCGAACCGGAUUAGAUACCCGGGUAGUCCUGGCCGUAAACGCUGCGAGCUAGGUGUUGCGCAUUCUUCGAGAGUAUGCGAUGCCGAAGAGAAAUCAUUAAGCGGGCCGCCUGGGGAGUACGGUCGCAAGGCUGAAGCUUAAAGGAAUUGGCGGGGGAGCACAAGCCGAA
rnacentral:rRNA from 1 species